GUAACGAGCGCAACCCUUGUCCUAGUUACCAGCACGUUAUGGUGGGCACUCUAAGGAGACUGCCGGUGACAACCGGAGGAAGGUGGGGAUGACGUCAAGUCAUCAUGGCCCUUACGGCCUGGGCUACACACGUGCUACAAUGGUCGGUACAAAGGGUUGCCAAGCCGCGAGGUGGAGCUAAUCCCAUAAAACCGAUCGUAGUCCGGAUCGCAGUCUGCAACUCGACUGCGUGAAGUCGGAAUCGCUAGUAAUCGUGAAUCAGAAUGUCACGGUGAAUACGUUCCCGGGCCUU
rnacentral:rRNA from 1 species